GCCUCGUGAAUUCAUCUCCGGGGGUAGAGCACUGUUUCGGCUAGGGGGCCAUCCCGGCUUACCAACCCGAUGCAAACUGCGAAUACCGGAGAAUGUUAUCACGGGAGACACACGGCGGGUGCUAACGUCCGUCGUGAAGAGGGAAACAACCCAGACCGCCAGCUAAGGUCCCAAAGUCAUGGUUAAGUGGGAAACGAUGUGGGAAGGCCCAGACAGCCAGGAUGUUGGCUUAGAAGCAGCCAUCAUUUAAAGAAAGCGUAAUAGCUCACUGGUCGAGUCGGCCUGCGCGGAAGAUGUAACGGGGCUAAACCAUGCACCGAAGCUGCGGCAGCGACACUCAGGUGUUGUUGGGUAGGGGAGCGUUCUGUAAGCCUGUGAAGGUGGCCUGUGAGGGUUGCUGGAGGUAUCAGAAGUGCGAAUGCUGACAUAAGUAACGAUAAAGCGGGUGAAAAGCCCGCUCGCCGGAAGACCAAGGGUUCCUGUCCAACGUUAAUCGGGGCAGGGUGAGUCGACCCCUAAGGCGAGGCCGAAAGGCGUAGUCGAUGGGAAACGGGUUAAUAUUCCCGUACUUGGUGUUACUGCGAAGGGGGGACGGAGAAGGCUAUGUUGGCCGGGCGACGGUU
rnacentral:rRNA from 1 species